UUUUCCAGUUCUAUUAAUUGCCAGGAUUGGCUUGUAAGAGAAUAAGGUGUGCAAUGAAGUCUUAUAAGUUAUCAGAACUUAGUCAUGCUGAGGUAGAAAGCUUGAAGGCUCGUCCUCGGAUAGAUUUUUCUUCCAUAUUCGGUGUGAUCCAACCAAUAGUUGAUGAUGUCCGUCGUAGAGGCGAUGCUGCAGUUAAAGUGUCGGUGUUGCUUACAAUCUUUUUACAUACUUCUAUUUUUUGUGUGACCAUUUCUAGUAAUGUUAAAUUUGUGGUUGUUUGUAAAUAUAUUUCUUGUGCAGUUAUAUUGAAAAGUUUGAUAAAGUUAAACUACA